rnacentral:rRNA from 1 species
UACGAAGGGGGCUAGCGUUGCUCGGAAUCACUGGGCGUAAAGCGCACGUAGGCGGCUUGUUAAGUCAGGGGUGAAAUCCUGGAGCUCAACUCCAGAACUGCCUUUGAUACUGGCAAGCUUGGAGUCCGGGAGAGGUGAGUGGAACUGCGAGUGUAGAGGUGAAAUUCGUAGAUAUUCGCAAGAACACCAGUGGCGAAGGAGGCUCACUGGCCCGGUACUGACGCUGAGGUGCGAAAGCGUGGGGAGCAAACAGG